rnacentral:rRNA from 1 species
GACGAACGCUGGCGGCGUGCUUAACACAUGCAAGUCGAACGGAAAGGCCCUGCUUUUGUGGGGUGCUCGAGUGGCGAACGGGUGAGUAACACGUGAGUAACCUGCCCUUGACUUUGGGAUAACUUCAGGAAACUGGGGCUAAUACCGGAUAGGAGCUACUGCUGCAUGGUGGGGGUUGGAAAGUUUCGGCGGUUGGGGAUGGACUCGCGGCUUAUCAGCUUGUUGGUGGGGUAGUGGCUUACCAAGGCUUUGACGGGUAGCCGGCCUGAGAGGGUGACCGGCGACAUUGGGACUGAGAUACGGCCCAGACUCCUACGGGAGGCAGCAGUGGGGAAUAUUGCACAAUGGGCGGAAGCCUGAUGCAGCAACGCCGCGUGCGGGAUGACGGCCUUCGGGUUGUAAACCGCUUUCGCCUGUGACGAAGCGUGAGUGACGGUAAUGGGUAAAGAAGCACCGGCUAACUACGUG